rnacentral:misc_RNA from 1 species
GAUGAAGAACGUAGUGAAAUGCGAUAAGUAAUGUGAAUUGCAGAAUUCAGUGAAUCAUCGAAUCUUUGAACGCACAUUGCGCCCGCCAGUAUUCUGGCGGGCAUGCCUGUUCGAGCGUCAUUACAACCCUCAGGCCCCCGGGCCUGGCGUUGGGGAUCGGCGGAGCCCCCCGUGGGCACACGCCGUCCCCCAAAUGCAGUGGCGGUCCCGCCGCAGCUUCCAUCGCGUAGUAGCUAACACCUCGCGACUGGAGAGCGGCGCGGCCACGCCGUAAAACACCCAACUCUUCUGAAGUUGACCUCGAAUCAGGUAGGAAUACCCGCUGAACUUAAGCAUAUCAAUAGCGAGGA